GAAGACUUAAGAUGGCGGCGUUUGCACGGAGUGCAAUCACUGCGUCCUUACGGGGGUUGCAAGGCGUCCGAAGUAUGAGUCCAGUAACAAAAGGCCAGAAACUCGCCAGUUAAUAGUAUUGUGUCUCUUCAAAAUAUCGGAGAAUAAUUUCUUUCUCGCUGAUCGCCUAACUUCUACUGACGAAGCUAGGAAGUUGCAGAAGGUACUGGCUCCUGUAUCACCCAGCUCUGGAGUUGAAAGAGCUCUUCAUUCCUGAGUCUCCUGUACCACUGAGAAUAGGCUGGAGUGCAGUGGCGCAAUCUCGGCUCUCUGCAACCUUCACCUCCUGCGUUCAAGUGAUUCUCCUGCCUCAGCCUCCUGAAUACCUGAGAUUACAAGCAUGCACCACCAUGCCCGUCUAAUUUUGUAUUUUCACUAGAGAUGGGGUUUCUCCAUGUUGGUCAGGCUGGUCUCGAACUCCCGACCUCAGGUGAUCCGCCCGCCUCAGCCUCCCAAAGUGCUGGGAUUACAGGCAUGAGCCACCACGUCCAGCAAGAAUAGGUGAUUUUCAAACUUGGAAACAUUCAGAAGUUAUCUCCUCAGUUUCAGAUUGAGUAGUCUCAAAGAGAUUACAGGCAUCUACCACAAAUUCUCUACUUGGUGUGGUGCAAAAUCAGUAUGAUGUAAACUUUGUCUCUCAGUUUCUUCAAAGGAAAGAAGGAACUGGAACACACAUAUAACACUAACCCUUCCAGCUGCAUUAUGAGGGACCAGUACCUGUCUCAAGGCAAAAUUAUGACUUAGUUCAUCCUCACCUCUGGAGGCCAGUAAAAGUGGGUUAUAGAAGAAC
rnacentral:lncRNA from 1 species